AGCUUUGCAGUGUUCGAACACAUAAGAUUGCAAGUCUUAAGAAGCGGGCGACCCCCUGCCAAAGCUU
rnacentral:tRNA from 1 species